GAGUUUAGAUCGUAGCAGAUAGCUCAGUAACAUGUGGCCAAACUACCCUCUGGACGCGGAUAACCUCGGGAAACUGAGGGCUAAUCUGUGAUAGCGUUCCCACGCUGCAGUGCGGGGAACGUGAAAUGUUCAGGCGCCAGAGGAUGUGGCUGCGGCCGAUUAGGUAGACGGUGGGGUAACGGCCCACCGUGCCAGUAAUCGGUACGGGUUGUGAGAGCAAGAGCCCGGAGACGGUAUCUGAGACAAGAUACCGGGCCCUACGGGGCGCAGCAGGCGCGAAACCUUUACACUGCACGAGAGUGCGAUAAGGGGACUCCGAGUGCGAGGGCAUAUAGUCCUCGCUUUUCACCACCGUAAGGUGGUGGUGGAAUAAGUGCUGGGCAAGACCGGUGCCAGCCGCCGCGGUAAUACCGGCAGCACGAGUGAUGACCGCUAUUAUUGGGCCUAAAGCGUCCGUAGCUGGCCAGGCAAGUCCAUCGGGAAAUCCGCGUGCUUAACGCGCGGGCGUCCGGUGGAAACUGCGUGGCUUGGGACCGGAAGACCAGAGGGGUACGUCUGGGGUAGGAGUGAAAUCCCGUAAUCCUGGACGGACCACCGGUGGCGAAAGCGCCUCUGGAAGACGGAUCCGACGGUGAGGGACGAAAGCUCGGGUCACGAACCGGAUUAGAUACCCGGGUAGUCCGAGCUGUAAACGAUGUCUGCUAGGUGUGCCACAGGCUACGAGCCUGUGGUGUGCCGUAGGGAAGCCGUGAAGCAGACCGCCUGG
rnacentral:rRNA from 1 species